GUGUCAGUCAUUCCCAGGUGUGUCAGUCCAGGUGUGUCAGUCCAGGUGUGUCAGUCCAGGUGUGUCAGUCAUUCCCAGGUGUGUCAGUCCAGGUGUGUCAGUCGGCCCCAGGUGUGUCAGUCAGUCCAGGUGUGUCAGUCCAGGUGUGUCAGUCGGCCCCAGGUGUGUCAGUCCAGGUGUGUCAGUCCAGGUGUGUCAGUCGGCCCCAGGUGUGUCAGUCCAGGUGUGUCAGUCCAGGUGUGUCAGUCGGUUCCAGGUGUGUCAGUCCAGGUGUGUCAGUCAGUCCAGGUGUGUCAGUCAGUCCAGGUGUGUCAGUCGGUCCCAGGUGUGUCAGUCGGUCCCAGCCCUGAGCAAUAAACACACCUGGCCACACCU